GGGGAAUUUUCCGCAAUGGGCGAAAGCCUGACGGAGCAAUACCGCGUGAGGGAGGAAGGCUUUUGGGUUGUAAACCUCUUUUCUCAAGGAAGAAGCAAGUGACGGUACUUGAGGAAUCAGCAUCGGCUAACUCCGUGCCAGCAGCCGCGGUAAUACGGAGGAUGCAAGCGUUAUCCGGAAUUAUUGGGCGUAAAGCGUCCGCAGGUGGCGUAUCAAGUCUGCUGUCAAAGACUAGAGCUCAACUCUGGAAAGGCGGUGGAAACUGGUAGGCUAGAGUACGGUAGGGGUUGAGGGAAUUCCCAGUGUAGCGGUGAAAUGCGUAGAUAUUGGGAAGAACACCAGUGGCGAAGGCGCUCAACUGGGCCGUAACUGACACUCAGGGACGAAAGCUAGGGUAGCGAAAGGGAUUAAUACCCCUGUAGUC
rnacentral:rRNA from 1 species